rnacentral:rRNA from 1 species
UUAAAACGCGCGUAGUUGGAUAUCUGUUUCGGAAAACUCAGGUGCCACCCAAGUGGUGUGUAUGCUGAAUCAACCGUGACAAGAAACUCGACGAACAUGCAUGCACUUAAUUGUGCGGCUGAGAUCUCGAGAACGCUUACUUUGAGGAAAUGAGGGUGCUCCAACGCAGGCUAUGGCCUUGUCAUACGUUAGCAUGGAAUAAUAGGACAAGACGUUGUUCCGAAGUGGUUAGUUUUCGGUCCGAUGUAGUACUAAUAGAGGUAGUUGAGGGCAUUCGUAUUUAAUUGCUAGGGGUGAAAUUCCUGGAUUUUUUAAAGACGAGCUACUGCGAACGCAUCUGCCCAGGAUGUUCUUCUUGAUCAAGAACGAAAGUUAGGGGAUCGAAGACGAUCAGAUACCGUCCUAGUCUUAACCAUAAACCAUGCCGACUAGAAAUUGGGGUUGUCAGAGUCUUGACGUCUUCAGCAACUUAGGAGAAAUCAAAGUCUUUGGGUUCCGGGGGGAGUAUGGUCGCAAGACUGAAACUUAAAGGAAUUGACGGAAGGGCACCACCAGGAGUGGAGCCUGCGGCUUAAUUUGACUCAACACGGGGAAACUUACCAGGGUCAAGACAUAGA